GAAAUUUUGUUGUUAGUUACUGGUCAGAAAGUUAUCGGGCAAGAAUGUUAGCAUUAAGGAAUAGCAACUUAAAAACUUCCGAAGUUGUUGCUGAAGUUUCAGCUCCGAGGACCUUUUGCGUUGUUAUUACUUCGAAAUUUCUCUAGGUGGUUCCCAGUCUUGAUCGGGUCGGUGCUGCGAGAGCUCGGUCAAGCUUUUAUUUUUCUUUUAAGCAUUACUAUUAGGGAUUUCUGUAUUCUAUGAUGUUAUGGUAUUUGUGAAGAUUAUGUGUUUAAUUAAUGGUUGUGAUGAAUAUUAUGUGAUGAAUGAUUCAUUUUGACUGUGUUAUGAUAGUAGUAGUUUUA